GAAAUAUAACACAAAUUAUUGAAUGAUCUAUUGAUUGUGUAAGAAGAUUUGGACAACCAUGAUGUGGAUUGCUAAUUGCUAAUCAUGGGCCGAAUCAUGACAUCUUAGAUUGCUAGUCAUGGGCUGAAUCAUAGCAUCCUAGUUUGCUAUUGCGAACCAAAGUAUAUAUAUUCUAGUUUGCUACUACAGGCCAAAAUAUGAAUAUUCUGAUUUGCCACCAU
rnacentral:lncRNA from 1 species